CAAGAAAUAUUGGCAUUAAUUUUACCACAAAAUGGUUAUUUUGAAUUCUUCUAGAUGAAAUUUAAAAAAUGAUUUAUGGUCGAAACUUUAAUUCGUCAGCAGAAAAAUACAAUAAUUACUGAUUCAUUUUAUGGAAAAUCUUCUGCUCGCAAGGUGAGGUCAACAAACCAUGUUCCAAUACCUGUAGAUAGGAGUUCUUGCAAAUGGUUAUCAUCUGAUGACGAGUCACAAGUGACGGAAUCCAAACCUAGUAACACUGUAUCAGUUAUGCCUAUUAAUUCUUUAAUGACAAAAAACAAAAGUAUUCAUCCAAUAUAGAAACAAAAAAACAUGCUUAAAAUUAAUGUUAAAAUUGUUUACUGGAAAAUCUGAUUAUGUGUAUGCUCCAAUUGAACAAGAUGUUGGUGCUAGUGGAAACGUUGUUAUAUGGCUUGCACGCAUUAUUCCUCGUAAUUUUAACCAUAAACUGUAUGUUGACAACUGGUUUAUCAGUAUUUGCAUUGCAACAUUGCAUUGUUUAUACGUAUGGCCAAGGUAUGUUUAUGUUAGGAACUGUUUGUCAAAACAAAUUUAAAAAUUGCCCUUUACUAGCGAAAAUUUAAGAAGCAAAAACGUGGGUAUCAUAUUGAGCAAUUCACUGUUAUUGAAGGAAUAAAGAUAUCUGCUGUGUGUUGGUUUGAUAAUAAAAUGGUAACUUUGUUGUCAAACUAUGUUUAUGUUGGUUGCCAACCAAUAACAGAAGUUCAGAGAUUUUCAAAAUCAAAACGCAAAAAUAUCUUGGUUUCCAUAUGUAGUUCAAAUUUAUGUCCAAAUGUAGUUCAAAUUUAUAAUAAACACAUGUGUUGAUUUACCUGACUUUCUUUUAGGUUAUUAUCGAAACAAAGUUUGCUCCAAAAAUGGUACCAUUGUAUCUUCUUUUACUUCAUUGACAUGACUAUUGUUAAUGUAUGGAUACUUUGCAAUAAAAAAAAUUUUAAAGUUUCUUUAGUAAAAUUUAAACUUAUUGUAGCUGAUUUGUCCUUCCGAGCAAUAUUCUAGUGUUCCAUCAAAAAGAGGACCCAAACAUCAUAUGUCUCAUAUUUCUUACAAACUGAUGCUAUUGGGCAUUGGUCAAUUGUAGGUAGUAUUCGUUCUCGCUGUAAAUUUCAUGGCUACUCAGCGUUAACAGAUAUAGUAAGUGAAAAAUGUAACGUUGGACUUUGCCUAAACAAAGAAAGGAUUGUUUUAAAAUGUUUCAUGUCUUAUUAUUCAUUGCUCUCAUGCAUAAUGUUUUUUUUUUUUUAUAUAACUAUUUUGUAGAGAUAAAACAUUCCUGCCAGGUUUUGUUUUAUAAUAUUAUGAUAAUGUUGUACUAUUUAUGCAUGCUGUAUCAUAUAUGAUAAAACAUUGAAAAUCAUAAAAAUCCAUAUUUAG